CAGUCGCCGCGGGAACACGAAGGGUGCAAGCGUUACUCGGAAUUACUGGGCGUAAAGCGUGCGUAGGUGGUGGUUUAAGUCCGUUGUGAAAGCCCUGGGCUCGACCUGGGAAUUGCAGUGGAUACUGGGUCACUAGAGUGUGGUAGAGGAUAGUGGAAUUUCCGGUGUAGCAGUGAAAUGCGUAGAGAUCGGAAGGAACAUCUGUGGCGAAGGCGACUAUCUGGGCCAACACUGACACUGAGGCACGAAAGCGUGGGGAGCAAACAGGAUUAGAUACCCGAGUAGUCCCUGUCUCUUAUAC
rnacentral:rRNA from 1 species